UACGUAGGGUGCAAGCGUUGUCCGGAAUUAUUGGGCGUAAAGAGCUCGUAGGCGGCUUGUCACGUCGGCUGUGAAAACCUGGGGCUCAACCUGGGCCUGCAGCCGAUACGGGCAAGCUAGAAUUCGGUAGGGGAGACUGGAAUUCCUGGUGUAGCGGUGAAAUGCGCAGAUAUCAGGAGGAACACCGAUGGCGAAGGCAGGUCUCUGGGCAUUAACUGACGCUGAGGAGCGAAAGCAUGGGGAGCGAACAGG
rnacentral:rRNA from 1 species